UACGAAGGGGGCUAGCGUUGCUCGGAAUGGACUGGGCGUAAAGGGCGCGUAGGCGGAUGGCACAGUCAGAUGUGAAAUUCCCGGGCUUAACCUGGGGGCUGCAUUUGAUACGUGUUGUCUAGAGUGAGGAAGAGGGUUGUGGAAUUCCCAGUGUAGAGGUGAAAUUCGUAGAUAUUGGGAAGAACACCGGUGGCGAAGGCGGCUUACUGGUCCGGAACUGACGCUGAGGUGCGAAAGCGUGGGGAGCAAACAGG
rnacentral:rRNA from 1 species